AGCAGCCGCGGUAAUUCCAGCUCCAAUAGCGUAUAUUAAAGUUGUUGCAGUUAAAAAGCUCGUAGUUGAAUUUCGGGAUCAAUGUUUCGGUCAUGCCCUUGGUAUGUACUGAUAUUAUUGGUUUCUCACCUUCUGAAGAACCGUAAUGCCAUUAAUUUGGUGUCACGGGGAAUUUGGACUGUUACCUUGAAAAAAUUAGAGUGUUUAAAGCAGGCUCACGCUUGAAUACGUUAGCAUGGAAUAAUGAAAUAGGACAUCCGAUUCUAUUUUGUUGGUUUCUAGGAUCGAUGUAAUGAUUAAUAGGGAUAGUUGGGGGCAUUAGUAUUCAAUUGUCAGAGGUGAAAUUCUUGGAUUUAUUGAAGACUAACUACUGCGAAAGCAUUUGCCAAGGAUGUUUUCAUUAAUCAAGAACGAAAGUUAGGGGAUCGAAGACGAUCAGAUACCGUCGUAGUCUUAACCAUAAACUAUGCCGACUAGGGAUCGGAUGAUGUUAAUUUUUUAAUGACUCA
rnacentral:rRNA from 1 species